rnacentral:snoRNA from 3 species
GCCAAUGAUACUACACCCAACAUUUGGAGGUGCAGAUGGCUCCAGGAUCCUGUUUACAGGAUGAACCUACCUGGAGGCGCUGUAUCCACAUGACAUUCAUGGGCAAGUUCUGAGGU